UUGCUACUUCUCUUGAGUUUAAGUCAACACUUUACUUUCUGUUUGCAGCAAUCACAGCAACAGACAUGAAGACUGCAUGUCUCCCGCAAGGAACAUAAUCUUCAACUAAUUUACCAAAUCGAGUCCAGGCUGAGGUCAAGCUACAAGUUUCUUUUUUUUGAUCAUCAACUCCAAAAGCCAAAAGUUAGAACAAAGGAAAAACGUAUCCAGCUUCUCUCCACACACACCAACAAAAGAGAAUCAAAGUUCCUUUGUUCCCAGCUCAUCAUUAGCUUUUUUCCUUCACUCCCAACAGCUGUGUCUCCCCCGCUGAGGAACAUGGUAACUGUAGUUCGGGACCAGGUGGCCAUCUUGGUUUGUAGUCCCCAUGCUGCAGCCAUCUAGAUGGCACAUACCGUCCCUCUAUGACACACCUCAGGAUGCCACAGAAGAAAUUAGGGUGGUGAAUAAAAUAAUAUUAUUCAUAUUUUUUAAUUAAUUUUCAUAUUUGAAUAUUUAAAGAGCCAAGAGUAUUAGUAAAAUAUACACUGUAAGAGAAAAAAAAUCUAUACAGAAAAUUCCUUCAUAUUAACACAGUACACUGCACACUAUUUUUACGGACUUAACCUUUAUAUGAUGGGAAAAAUGAAAUCUGUUGAAUAAAAUGUAACCCCUGGGACAUAAAAAUGCAAGUUCAAGGAAUGUCCAAGUCCAACUAUUAUGUCUUUAAUAUAAUGUGGCUUGAUGAUAUUUUGGUUUUGACGUAAAUUAAACGGAUAAGUCAAACAUACUUGAAUAGGUGCAAAAAAGACUGUCUCAUUGUCAGCACUCAAGUUCAUGCUGUACCAACUUAUUCAUGCUAUGUAACAUUUGAUUAUGGAUGAUGAAAUAUAUAUUAUCAGUAGUACAAGGUACAAUACAUAGCAAUAAAUAGUACAUAACCUGCAACCAGCUGUGAAGAAAAGAAUAAAGAUGAAAAGAUGUCUUAAAGUCUGAAGAAGGACCUCUUGCACACAUUCAGAAACAUCAACCACAAGAAAAACCAGUAGAUGCUGAUCAGAGUUUAUUUGUUGAUCCAGAUUGCAGCUGUUAACUUAAUUUGCUGUAAAGUUGCUUUGCAAUGAUUUGUAUCGUGAAAAGCGCUAUACAAAUAAACUUGACUUGACUUGACUUGACUGUUCAUUUGCUUCAUCAAAUGACAAAAAAAUCCAGGUUUGUUCUCACACAAAUCAGUCUAAAAUUCAAUCAGACUUGCGUCAGCCUUCUUGACUCAUGAGUUAAUGACACAAGUCCAUUACCAGUACAUUGCGUGCAAUAUAUUCCAAUGUGAAAUAUAAUAUAUACUAAUAUUUUAUUUAAACCACUUUUGUUACAGUUUCACUAUAAUUCAGUUUCUGAAUAAAUUAAGAACUUUCACUUUCAAAUAGCAAAACAUGUAUUUG
rnacentral:lncRNA from 1 species